AUGAACGCUGGCGGCGUGCCUAAUACAUGCAAGUCGAGCGAACAGACGAGGAGCUUGCUCCUCUGACGUUAGCGGCGGACGGGUGAGUAACACGUGGAUAACCUACCUAUAAGACUGGGAUAACUUCGGGAAACCGGAGCUAAUACCGGAUAAUAUAUUGAACCGCAUGGUUCAAUAGUGAAAGACGGUUUUGCUGUCACUUAUAGAUGGAUCCGCGCCGCAUUAGCUAGUUGGUAAGGUAACGGCUUACCAAGGCAACGAUGCGUAGCCGACCUGAGAGGGUGAUCGGCCACACUGGAACUGAGACACGGUCCAGACCCCUACGGGAGGCAGCAGUAGGGAAUCUUCCGCAAUGGGCGAAAGCUUGACGGAGCAACGCCGCGUGAGUGAUGAAGGUCUUCGGAUCGUAAAACUCUGUUAUUAGGGAAGAACAAACGUGUAAGUAACUAUGCACGUCUUGACGGUACCUAAUCAGAAAGCCACGGCUAACUACGUG
rnacentral:rRNA from 1 species